rnacentral:misc_RNA from 2 species
CCCAACUAUCCCUAUUAAUCAUUACGUCAAUCCUAGAAACCAACAAAAUAGGAUCAAACGUCCUAUUUCAUUAUUCCAUGCUAAUGUAUUCAAGCGAUUGCCUGCUUUAAACACUCUAAUUUUUUCAAAGUAACAGCCCUGUUUUCCCGCAACACCAAAUUAAUGGCAUUACGGUUCUACAAGAAGGAGGAACCAUCGAAAUCAGUACAUACCAGAGGCACGACCAACCUGAUGAUCCCGAAAUUCAACUACGAGCUUUUUAACUGCAACAACUUUAAUAUACGCUAUUGGAGCUGGAAUUACCGCGGCUGCUGGCACCAGACUUGCCCUCCAA